rnacentral:rRNA from 1 species
GGGUUGUGAGGUUAAGCGACUAAGCGUACACGGUGGAUGCCCUGGCAGUCAGAGGCGAUGAAGGACGUGCUAAUCUGCGAUAAGCGUCGGUAAGGUGAUAUGAACCGUUAUAACCGGCGAUUUCCGAAUGGGGAAACCCAGUGUGAUUCGUCACACUAUCAUUAACUGAAUCCAUAGGUUAAUGAGGCGAACCGGGGGAACUGAAACAUCUAAGUACCCCGAGGAAAAGAAAUCAACCGAGAUUCCCCCAGUAGCGGCGAGCGAACGGGGAGCAGCCCAGAGCCUGAAUCAGUGUGUGUGUUAGUGGAAGCGUCUGGAAAGGCGCGCGAUACAGGGUGACAGCCCCGUACACAAAAAUGCACAUGCUGUGAGCUCGAUGAGUAGGGCGGGACACGUGGUAUCCUGUCUGAAUAUGGGGGGACCAUCCUCCAAGGCUAAAUACUCCUGACUGACCGAUAGUGAACCAGUACCGUGAGGGAAAGGCGAAAAGAACCCCGGCGAGGGGAGUGAAAAAGAACCUGAAACCGUGUACGUACAAGCAGUGGGAGCACGCUUAGGCGUGUGACUGCGUACCUUUUGUAUAAUGGGUCAGCGACUUAUAUUCUGUAGCAAGGUUAACCGAAUAGGGGAGCCGAAGGGAAACCGAGUCUUAACUGGGCGUUAAGUUGCAGGGUAUAGACCCGAAACCCGGUGAUCUAGCCAUGGGCAGGUUGAAGGUUGGGUAACACUAACUGGAGGACCGAACCGACUAAUGUUGAAAAAUUAGCGGAUGACUUGUGGCUGGGGGUGAAAGGCCAAUCAAACCGGGAGAUAGCUGGUUCUCCCCGAAAGCUAUUUAGGUAGCGCCUCGUGAAUUCAUCUCCGGGGGUAGAGCACUGUUUCGGCAAGGGGGUCAUCCCGACUUACCAACCCGAUGCAAACUGCGAAUACCGGAGAAUGUUAUCACGGGAGACACACGGCGGGUGCUAACGUCCGUCGUGAAGAGGGAAACAACCCAGACCGCCAGCUAAGGUCCCAAAGUCAUGGUUAAGUGGGAAACGAUGUGGGAAGGCCCAGACAGCCAGGAUGUUGGCUUAGAAGCAGCCAUCAUUUAAAGAAAGCGUAAUAGCUCACUGGUCGAGUCGGCCUGCGCGGAAGAUGUAACGGGGCUAAACCAUGCACCGAAGCUGCGGCAGCGACGCUUAUGCGUUGUUGGGUAGGGGAGCGUUCUGUAAGCCUGCGAAGGUGUGCUGUGAGGCAUGCUGGAGGUAUCAGAAGUGCGAAUGCUGACAUAAGUAACGAUAAAGCGGGUGAAAAGCCCGCUCGCCGGAAGACCAAGGGUUCCUGUCCAACGUUAAUCGGGGCAGGGUGAGUCGACCCCUAAGGCGAGGCCGAAAGGCGUAGUCGAUGGGAAACAGGUUAAUAUUCCUGUACUUGGUGUUACUGCGAAGGGGGGACGGAGAAGGCUAUGUUGGCCGGGCGACGGUUGUCCCGGUUUAAGCGUGUAGGCUGGUUUUCCAGGCAAAUCCGGAAAACUAAGGCUGAGGCGUGAUGACGAGGCACUACGGUGCUGAAGCAACAAAUGCCCUGCUUCCAGGAAAAGCCUCUAAGCAUCAGGUAACAUCAAAUCGUACCCCAAACCGACACAGGUGGUCAGGUAGAGAAUACCAAGGCGCUUGAGAGAACUCGGGUGAAGGAACUAGGCAAAAUGGUGCCGUAACUUCGGGAGAAGGCACGCUGAUAUGUAGGUGAAGUCCCUCGCGGAUGGAGCUGAAAUCAGUCGAAGAUACCAGCUGGCUGCAACUGUUUAUUAAAAACACAGCACUGUGCAAACACGAAAGUGGACGUAUACGGUGUGACGCCUGCCCGGUGCCGGAAGGUUAAUUGAUGGGGUCAGCGCAAGCGAAGCUCUUGAUCGAAGCCCCGGUAAACGGCGGCCGUAACUAUAACGGUCCUAAGGUAGCGAAAUUCCUUGUCGGGUAAGUUCCGACCUGCACGAAUGGCGUAAUGAUGGCCAGGCUGUCUCCACCCGAGACUCAGUGAAAUUGAACUCGCUGUGAAGAUGCAGUGUACCCGCGGCAAGACGGAAAGACCCCGUGAACCUUUACUAUAGCUUGACACUGAACAUUGAGCCUUGAUGUGUAGGAUAGGUGGGAGGCUUUGAAGUGUGGACGCCAGUCUGCAUGGAGCCGACCUUGAAAUACCACCCUUUAAUGUUUGAUGUUCUAACGUUGACCCGUGAUCCGGGUUGCGGACAGUGUCUGGUGGGUAGUUUGACUGGGGCGGUCUCCUCCUAAAGAGUAACGGAGGAGCACGAAGGUUGGCUAAUCCUGGUCGGACAUCAGGAGGUUAGUGCAAUGGCAUAAGCCAGCUUGACUGCGAGCGUGACGGCGCGAGCAGGUGCGAAAGCAGGUCAUAGUGAUCCGGUGGUUCUGAAUGGAAGGGCCAUCGCUCAACGGAUAAAAGGUACUCCGGGGAUAACAGGCUGAUACCGCCCAAGAGUUCAUAUCGACGGCGGUGUUUGGCACCUCGAUGUCGGCUCAUCACAUCCUGGGGCUGAAGUAGGUCCCAAGGGUAUGGCUGUUCGCCAUUUAAAGUGGUACGCGAGCUGGGUUUAGAACGUCGUGAGACAGUUCGGUCCCUAUCUGCCGUGGGCGCUGGAGAACUGAGGGGGGCUGCUCCUAGUACGAGAGGACCGGAGUGGACGCAUCACUGGUGUUCGGGUUGUCAUGCCAAUGGCACUGCCCGGUAGCUAAAUGCGGAAGAGAUAAGUGCUGAAAGCAUCUAAGCACGAAACUUGCCCCGAGAUGAGUUCUCCCUGACUCCUUGAGAGUCCUGAAGGAACGUUGAAGACGACGACGUUGAUAGGCCGGAUGUGUAAGCGCAGCGAUGCGUUGAGCUAACCGGUACUAAUGAACCGUGAGGCUUAACCUUACAACGCCGAAGGUGUUU